rnacentral:rRNA from 1 species
CGUAGGCAGCGAGCGUUGUUCGGAGUUACUGGGCGUAAAGCGUGCGUAGGCGGUUUUGUAAGUUUGGUGUGAAAUCUCCCGGCUCAACUGGGAGGGUGCGCCGAAAACUGCAAGGCUGGAGUGUGGGAGAGGUAGGCGGAAUUCCUGGUGUAGCGGUGAAAUGCGUAGAUAUCAGGAGGAACACCUGUGGUGUAGACGGCUUACUGGACCAUGACUGACGCUGAGGCACGAAAGCGUGGGGAGCAAACAGGAUUAGAUACCCUGGUAGUCCACGCCCUAAACGAUGCAUACUUGGUGUGGGUAAUUCAUUUUAUCCGUGCCGGAGCUAACGCGUUGAGUAUGCCGCCUGGGGAGUACGGUCGCAAGGCUGA